CCAACAGGGAUUGCCUCAGUAACGGCGAGUGAAGCGGCAUAAGCUCAAAUUUGAAAUCUGGCUCUUUCGGGGUCCGAAUUGUAAUUUGUAGAAGAUGCUUCGAGUGUGGUUCCGGUCUAAGUUCCUUGGAACAGGACGUCAUAGAGGGUGAGAAUCCCGUAUGUGACUGGGAUACCUUCAUUCAUGUGAAGCUCUUUCGACGAGUCGAGUUGUUUGGGAAUGCAGCUCAAAAUGGGUGGUAAAUUUCAUCUAAAGCUAAAUAUUGGCCAGAGACCGAUAGCGCACAAGUAGAGUGAUCGAAAGAUGAAAAGCACUUUGGAAAGAGAGUUAAACAGUACGUGAAAUUGUUGAAAGGGAAGCGCUUGCAAUCAGACUUGCGCCUAGUUGAUCAUCCAGGCUUCUGUCUGGUGCACUCAAUUAGGCUCAGGCCAGCAUCGGUUUGGGUGGUUGGAUAAAGGCCUUGGGAAUGUAGCCCUCUUCGGGGGGUGUUAUAGCCCUCGGUGCAAUGCAGCCUACCUGGACCGAGGACCGCGCUUCGGCUAGGAUGCUGGCGUAAUGGU
rnacentral:rRNA from 1 species